GACGAACGCUGGCGGCGUGCUUAACACAUGCAAGUCGAACGGUGAUGCUCCAGCUUGCUGGAGUGGAUCAGUGGCGAACGGGUGAGUAACACGUGAGCAACCUGCCCCAGACUCUGGAAUAAGCGCUGGAAACGGCGUCUAAUACUGGAUACGAAACUGGCCCGCAUGGGCAUGGUUUGGAAAGUUUUUCGGUUUGGGAUGGGCUCGCGGCCUAUCAGCUUGUUGGUGAGGUAAUGGCUCACGAAGGCGACGACGGGUAGCCGGCCUGAGAGGGCGAACGGCCACACUGGGACUGAGACACGGCCCAGACUCCUACGGGAGGCAGCAGUGGGGAAUAUUGCACAAUGGGCGAAAGCCUGAUGCAGCGACGCCGCGUGAGGGAUGACGGCCUUCGGGUUGUAAACCUCUUUCAGCAGGGAAGAAGCGAAAGUGACGGUACCUGCAGAAGAAGCACCGGCUAACUACGUG
rnacentral:rRNA from 1 species